UUGGAAUUGAUAAAUUUUUAUUUUUUGAAUCCAUUUAUACUCUAGUGGUGUAGUUAAUUUUUUUUUAAAUUUCGAUGAUAACAUCCGUAGACUUAACGUAGAAUAUUUGACUUUUAUUUUCGGGAGAUCAUAAUUACCGUAGACUUAACUGUAAAUAUCAAAUUUUAUAUAAGUGGACUCGAAUCUUUUCUUAUUGUCUACGUACCCGGACCUAGGAAUCAAAGUCAU
rnacentral:lncRNA from 1 species